rnacentral:siRNA from 1 species
UUGACGGCAACGUUAGGGAGU